GCAUCCUGGGAGCUUGCUCUUUCGGGUGGAGACCGGCGCACGGGUGCAGAACGCGUAUGUCAGCCGCCCCUGGCGGGAGAAUUCCCCGAAAAUCCUUGUAUUACUGCCCCAUGGCACCGCGAUAUCGCAUGAGAUUGUCGUUCCUUAUUUAUGAUGGAGGGAUGGCCAUGCGAUACCAUUGUUAGUGGGUGGGGUAACGGCCCAGCGACGCUCCGAUGGUGGUCUGCCCUGAUAGGGGGAUCCCCCGCACACUGUACUGAGACACCGACCUCACUCCUACGGGAGGCAGGGGAAUCGAAUAUUGGACAAUGGGCCCUGAUCUGAUCCUGCCAUGCCGUGUGCAAGAUGAUUGCCCUAUGGGUUGUCUUCUGCUUUUAUACGAAGGCUAAAUGCGCCCACCUGUGGGCGUCUGACGUUACCUACAGAAUAAGGACCGGCUAAUUCCGUGCCAGCAGCCGCGGUAAUACGAAAGGUCCGAGCGUUAUCCGGAAUCAUUGGGUUUAAAGGGUCGCGUAGGCGGGCCUGUAAGUCAGGAUGUGAAAGUUUGUGGCUCAACCUUGGAAUUGCCUUUGAUACUGCAGGUCUUGAGUCAUGGUGGGGGAGGUGGAAUUUGUGGUGUAGCGGUGAAAUGCAUAGAUAUCACAAGGAACACCAAUGGCGAAGGCGGUGUCCUGCACUGACACUGACGCUGAUGGUGCGAAAGCGUGGGGAGCGAACAGGAUUAGAUACCCUGGUAGUCCACGCCGUAACGAUGUCUACUAGCUGUGGGGAUUUUUAUCGACUUUGCUGGCGCAACUAGA
rnacentral:rRNA from 1 species